rnacentral:sRNA from 1 species
CAAACUCUAAAGAAACCCAAAAGUCACCAUCAGACUGCAGGCCGGAGAUACCUGAGGGAAAUCUCAGGGCUGGGACAUAGGCUCAAUUUCUGAGGCCCCAUUCUCCAGCCAUUCUGACUCUGUUUCUUAGGGGGGGAAGUCAUAGGUUAGGGAGCACCUCACACUUUCCUCAGGAGAAGACACACAACCAUGACCCUCAGCCUGGGGACCCCAACUCCAGGCCCUCCAGCCCCAAACCUGUCCAGCCAGCCCUGAAAAUGCAAGUCUUGUACGAGUUUGAAGCUAGGAACCCACGGGAACUGACUGUGGUCCAGGGAGAGGAGCUGGAGGUUCUGGACCACAGCAAGCGGUGG